rnacentral:rRNA from 1 species
GAUGAACGCUAGCGGCAGGCCUAAUACAUGCAAGCUGAACGGUAAAUAUUAUAGCAAUAUGAUAUGAGAGUAGCGUAAGGGUGCGUAACACGUAUGCAAUCUGCCCUGUACAGGAGGAUAGCUCGGCGAAAGCCGGAUUAAUACUCCGUAAUAUUAUGGGAAGGCAUCUUUUUAUAAUUAAAGUCGCAAGAUGGUACAGGAUGAGCAUGCGUCUGAUUAGCUAGUUGGUAGUGUAACGGACUACCAAGGCGAUGAUCAGUAGGGGAACUGAGAGGUUGAUCCCCCACACUGGCACUGAGAUACGGGCCAGACUCCUACGGGAGGCAGCAGUAGGGAAUAUUGGUCAAUGGAUGCAAGUCUGAACCAGCCAUGCCGCGUGCAGGAAGAAGGCCUUCUGGGUUGUAAACUGCUUUUGCCGGGGGAUAAAAUUCCCAUGCGUGGGCAUUGAAGGUACCCGGUGAAUAAGCCACGGCUAACUACG